rnacentral:rRNA from 1 species
AUUGAACGCUGGCGGCAGGCCUAACACAUGCAAGUCGAGCGAGCGGCGGACGGGUGAGUAAUGUAUGGGGACUGCCCGAUAGAGGGGGAUAACUACUGGAAACGGUGGCUAAUACCGCAUACUAUCGGAUAACCCAUAUUGGAUUAGCUAGUAGGUGUGGUAAAGGCUCACCAAGGCGACGAUGUAUAGCUGGUCUGCGAGGAUGAUCGGCCAAACUGGGACUGAGACACGGCCCAGACUCCUACGGAGGCAGCAGUGGGGAAUAUUGCACAAUGGGCGAAAGUCUGAUCCAGCAACGCCGCGUGUAUGAAGAAGGCCUUAGGGUUGUAAAGCACUGUCAGCGGGGAGGCGUUACCCGAAGAAGAAGCCACGGCUAACUCCGUGCCAGCAGCCGCGGUAAUUC